ensembl:snRNA U6 U6 spliceosomal RNA
GUGCUCGCUUUGGCAGCACAUAUACUAAAAUUAGAACAAUACACAGAAGAUUAGCAUGGCCCCUAAGCAAGGAUGACACAUAAAUUACCUCUAAAAGAGGUCUUCUCUC